rnacentral:lncRNA from 1 species
CUUAGUUAAAUCAACACAAUUCAAUCACCUAUUUCUUAAUCUCCAAGAAACAAGACCAUGAUUCUUAAAAGCGAGUAACCAAUUGAGAAUCUAUUUCUAAACAAAUAGAUAUUCAACCCUUUUUUUUGAAUCUAUCUCAAUUACAUUCAUAGCCUCAAUGAGCUCUACAUAAAAAGCAAUAGAUAUGUGUAAGUUUUGAGUUAUCUUUGAAAAUAUAGCACCAUAUGUUGUUGGUCCAGGGUAUAACCCUUUGUUGUGUAAUUUGCAUUGCACUUGAUCUAGGAAACGAUGAGAGGAUUCCAUAUAACCUCUCUAAUAUGAGGAGCUUUAGGAGAAGGAUUUAAAAUAGAAAAGGCUUUAAGAAUCACAAAUUCAAGCAUAGAGGAGAAAAGAAGUCCCUACAUAGUGGUUGACAGUAAGAAAAUUAUUUGAUUUACCAAAAAUGUGUUAAAUAGCCAAUCAUAUUAAUUCGUCAUACAAACGAGAUGAUUUCUCUCACUACAUUCAGCAUAUAUCAAACUUGUUUGGAUCCUCUCCUUCGAUCACUUUUGAUUUUUUUUUACUAUCUUUUACUAUUGUUUUUAUCUCUUACAUUUUCUCUCUCUUCUUUUUAUUUCUUUUUAUUUUUUGGUUUUUUUUUUCCUCCUCUUACACUUAUCUUUUUUAAAGAAGAUGGAAGGAUAAAAGAAUAAGGUUAAAGUCCAUAUCAAGACAAUAGUUAAUUACUUUGAAACAAAUAUAUAGAAAACCAAAGAGAUAAAGAGGAUCUAAAUUACGGUACGAUAUCACACCACACUCACUAAUGUUUUUUUUGUCAACUAGUUUAAUGACGAUAAAUUUCACCGUUAAAGUGAACAAGAUUGGUGUAUAGAAUUCGAAUUUUGACCCCUACAUAUAUAAUAUGAUUUCUCUGUCAAAUAAGUUAAACUCACGGGAACUGGCGCUCACUAACGUUUUCAAAGAUGCAUAUUUUACAAAAUUGGUCAUUGGAUGAAAUAUUUAUAACAUAUUAUAGAUGAUCUCUACAAUUUGUUGCAUAAAUAUAAAAAUAAUUUAUUAUGUUUGUAAAGUGCGUUAAAAUCAUCUUGUCAAGAUAACUCGGUUGAUAUUAAGUACAUUAUUGAAGAGGUCGGUUUCGAUCUCCAAAUUUUUUCACUUCCACAAAAUUGGUGAUUAAAUUUUACAAAAUUGGUCAUUGUAUGUAAUUUNNNNNNNNNNNNNNNNNNNNNNNNNNNNNNNNNNNNNNNNNNNNNNNNNNNNNNNNNNNNNAAUUUAUUUUUUUGUCAAGUGCCCAUAAUGUGGUUAGUAGAUCCCUUUAAUUAAUUUUGUAAAAUAAUUUAUUGGUACUUUUAGCAAAUUAGCUGGGGCCUAGGUUCAAUAAUCAUGACUAUUGGGCCUUUUCCUAUUUCUUGUCUCGCCCAACAACAUACUGAGCCCAUUAAUUUGCAACUUACACGCCUUAGGGGAAUGUUAACUAACUACAUCCCACAUACUGGUUACAUUUUAUAUCUCCAUCCCUUGCUACAUUAGAUAAUUACAACCCUUUGACUUCAAUAGUUGAAAGUUAAGAACAAGUUUAUAAUAAAAGGUAAAAGAUAAGAAAUAUUUACCUUCUCGAGUAGAAAUCUUCAACUAAUAUUUACCUUUCGUCAAAAAAAAAAAAAGAAAUUAAUAUUUACCUUCUUUAUAUUUGAGACAUGGGGCAUGCUGACAAAUGAAAAGUUACAUGUGCAAAGACUUUAAUUUAUUUUUUUGACAGUAUGCAAAGACUUUAAUUUAAACCAAGUUGAGUCUCAGAUAUUUUCUUCAUCACAACAUAAAAUAUCUACUAUAUAAGAAAAGAAAGUACAUAUGAAAUUCCUAAUUUGCCCCUUUUUCAUUUUUUGACACAUAAUCAAUUCAGGGUUAUUUUGUGUCUUUAUUAAAAAAAGUUAGUAGAAAAAUGCUAAAAAAUUUCUUAGUAGGAAUUGAAGCCUUAACCUUUUAGUUACACUUCUUAUUAGAUUUACCACUAAGCCAUAUGAAUUAAUUUGUUAUAUUUUUGGAACCAACAUAUAAUCAACAUGAGUUAAGUUAAAAGAAAAAAGGGGAAGUGUUUAUUUAUUUUUUUCUUUUGGUUUUUUUUUUACAAUAUAGAGGUACAUGGUAUUGUUUCCAUUUAUUUAUGAUAUUUUAUUUGAGUCCAACCCUUUCUUUAGUGUAAUUUUAUCAUUUAUUGUUUAUGUUUCGUUAUUUUAGAUUCACUCAACUUGAUUUAUGGACUUCAAUCCAAUAUUUAAUUAAGUUAAUUUUUAAUUUGUAGUUCAACUCAAUAAAUUUAAUUAAUUUAAUACAAGAAUCUACUAUAUAAGAAAAGAAAGUACAUAUGAAAUUCCUAAUUUGCCCCUUUUUCAUUUUUUGACACAUAAUCAAUUCAGAGUUAUUUUGUGCCUUUAUUAAAAGAAGUUAGUAGAAAAAUGCUAAAAAAUUUCUUAGUAGGAAUUGAACCCUUAACCUUUUAGUUACACUUCUUAUUAGAUUUACCACUNNNNNNNNNNNNNNNNNNNNNNNNNNNNNNNNNNNNNNNNNNNNNNNNNNNNNNNNNNNNNNNNNNNNNNNNNNNNNNNNNNNNNNNNNNNNNNNNNNNNNNNNNNNNNNNNNNNNNNNNNNNNNNNNNNNNNNNNNNNNCCAAAUAUUAUAUCAUUUCAUCUUACCAAGUGAGGAGCGGCAACGCCGCGACUCCCGUGCGAACGCACGGGUGUCCUGCUAGUUGUUUUUUUAAAACAAAACAAGUCCCGCAACACAGAGACUUAUUUGGAAGGACAUCAUUUUGAUUUUUCUCCCUUUUUUAUUAUUAUUUUUCUAUUUUAUAAUUAUUUUUUAGAAACUUUGUAAAAAGGCUCAAAAACUCUAUUUCCAUUCUUAAUUUAAAUUUUGAUGGUUGUUCUUCGCCUCCUCUAAAUUGAUCAGAAUCUCCCUCAUGUCCCCGGUCCCCCCAUCUAAGGAAGAUAUUUUCUAUAGUACAAAUCUUAUUGGGAGAAAUCUUCUGACAAUAUAAAUCUUAGCGAAAAAUAUCUUUUAGUAUUGUGUUUUCUAGUGUGAGUCAUUUCGGGACGGAGAACAAUCAUCUUUAAUUUAAGGCUUAAUUAGUCUUUUGGUCCCUUAAAGAUAUUUUAGGUUUCACAAUGGUCCCUUAAAGAAAAAAAGGUCAGGAUUGGUCCCUUAAAGACACAUCCGUUUCUCAAUUGGUCCUUUCCGUCAAUUUUUUACAAAAAACGUUAGUUUUAGUAGACUGAAUUGUGGAUGUCAUUAAGUGUAAGUGGUCCACCAAANNNNNNNNNNNNUUUAAGGGACCAUUGUAAAACCUAAAAUGUCUUUAAGGGACCAAUAGACUAAUUAAGCCUUAAUUUAAAUAAACUCUUUGGUUUACAACAAAUGGACGGGGAGAAAAAAUACGUUUCAAAGGCCCAACAAGAAAAAAAAAGUUUUUGAUCUAUUGGACUCAAAUGGCCCAUCUUGCUCAUUGAAACAAACAAAAGAGAAAAUUGCUCUUCUGACCCCAUAUCUUGCUCAAAUAACCCAUAAAGAUUCAAAGAUAAGAAGAUGGUGCGGUGGUACCGGUUCUGCUAAAGUUUCUGCAUUUCGAAUCUUAUAUUCCGAAGAUGUUUUGACUUCGGAUCGUAUAAUACAAAGUCCAAAAUCAGGGGUAUUAUUGUAUUUAUGGGGGGUCUGAGAGUACUAUGCGAGGCCUAAAGAGCAAUUUUCCAAACAUAGCAAGAUGGUCAGAUUUUGGAUAUUAAAAAAAUCACCACUUUUUGGUUAAAAAUCAGUAUUUUUUUUUUGACAAGUUAAAAAUCAUUAUUUUAAAAUAUAAAAAAUGUAUGAAAUUUAUGAGACCAGAGACCAAAAUUUCUAAAUGACUUACUUUUGUAGACCAGGCCUAGAUUCAUGCUCAUUUGUUAUGCUUGACUCAAUAAUUAAGGUCUUAAUCGGUUCACUUUGAGGGCUCAUCAUUCCCUCAAAUCCCAACUGGCAGAAACAUCUUCAUCCGUCAUAAAACUUACCUUGAUUCUCCAUGCCAUUGAUGGGGAUCUCAAAGCAUCUCCCUCUCAUCAAUGAAAGAGACUUUAUGUUUGGCCUAUAAUUACCCUUUUCAUCACGAGCAGCCUAUAUAUAAACAUCGCGCGUGCCUCGUGCAAUAAGCAGUCGCUCCCAAACAUUAACCGGCUCGGUUUGCGCCUCGCGCAAUGGAACAAGCGCAGACCACGCCUAGCGCAGAACCUAAUGCGCCUAGCGCAGGGACCAAUCUUGGAACCUGUUUUUCUGAACUCGAGAUUUCAAAGCAAUUAUAACAAUUCACUUAUAAAAAUUUUAAAUAGAGAACUAAAAAAC